rnacentral:rRNA from 1 species
UACGUAGGGUGCGAGCGUUAAUCGGAAUUACUGGGCGUAAAGCGUGCGUAGGCGGUUCGUUAAGUCCGUUGUGAAAGCCCUGGGCUCAACCUGGGAAUGGCAGUGGAUACUGGCGAGCUAGAGUGUGAUAGAGGAUGGUGGAAUUCCCGGUGUAGCGGUGAAAUGCGUAGAGAUCGGGAGGAACACCAGUGGCGAAGGCGGCCAUCUGGAUCAACACUGACGCUGAGGCACGAAAGCGUGGGGAGCAAACAGG